GUUUGUCACAUACUAGUUUUCUUAACAAAUCGAAUCAAGUAUCUUGCAGUUAAAACUUAUGUUUAUUCAAACAUACACAUCAUCCGGUAAUAACAUAUAGUCAUUAACGGUCUUUGUCCAAUACAGAGCAAUGUUCAAGAUGUUAUCCAUUUUUGAUGUUAAAGGUAUUGGCCACGAAUUCUAAGCUACGAUCAGUUUUAUAGGUUUAAAAUUCAAUUACCGAGGGGCGUAUACAUAAGAUUGCCUUACUUUAAAAUAUGUGGCUAUCUUAGAAAGAGGGGAGGGAAUCUAUGAUUAAAGCCAUACGUUAUAUUUGGCAGUAAGCUACACAAAGGUUCUAUAUGCAUGGUAAAUGAAUAGAUGCCUUUAGAAAUAUGAGCCUUGGUAAUACAGAGGGAGACUGGCUAGCAAAGCUUAGGUCAAAGGUUACUAUAAACAGGCCCUUCAUCUAUCACUCUUAAAGUGAACCAGAUGUGGUCUCCAUUCCUAUACAAUGAAAGUCUGUAAUACUGUAGGACUAGGUAUGGCUUCUCAAUUUCAGUGUUCUGGAAGUAAUCUGAAUAAAACUUAUAAUAUUUAUAUCAACACAUUAAAUAUUUAAUAGUUCAUAAAAUAUAUUUCAACUAAUGCCUUUAAAUUGCUGCCAAUCCACCCCACACUGUGGCACCUGUAUGGCAUCAAGUGGUCCGGGAACUACUAUUUUUUCUCCUGUUUAACUUUUGGGUCCAAAAGUAGCCCAGCUAUUUUCGACACAUUUGCCGAAGCAUUGUGCUGGUUACUAUUGAACAUAGCCAGAUGCCCUACUGUAUUACACUACCUGGAUGAUUUCUUACUGGUCGAGGAGCAUACUCCCCCUCCCAGUAACCUCAAAGCUACCACCAAGCUAUUUGAGCAGCUAGGUGUCCCAAUGUCCCCUAAGAAAACGGAGGGGCCAGACACGAUUAUCACAUUCCUGGGUAUUCAAUUAGACUCAACCACAAUGCAAGCAAGCCUGCCACAUGACAAGAUAGAGAACAUUCUUACCUACAUCGACCACUACCUUCAGCUCGGUACCUGCAACCGCAAAGAACUACAGUCCCUGCAGGGUUCACUAAAUUUUGCCAUGUGUAUCAUACCUCAAGGCCGCUCCUUCAUAUCACGCCUCCUGUAUCUUUUUCCACUCUUCCUACAUGACACACACAGGUUGUCCUUAGAUACUCAAGCUACGGCAGACUUACGCAUGUGGAAGGAAUUUUUAACCACUUGGAAUGGUAAAAGUAUGUUCCUCCCUCAAUUGACUGACUCAUCACCUACCAUUUGGUCAGAUGCGGCAUCUACCACAGGUUUUGCAGCAAUUUUUGUGAACGAAUGGCUUUGGGGAAGCUGGCCUACAGCAGUUCAGGAUUUGGAAGGUUUUUCCACUACCUCAGCUCUCUUUGAGAUCUAUCCCAUUGUGGCGGCUGCCGUAGCAUUUAUGGGCAAACAUGCCAGUACAUUGCUACUCAGAUAACCAGGCAACCUGUCACAUCAUCAACAAAGGUCAUUUCAAAUCCCUUUCAAUCAUGAGAUUUCUGAGAAAACUUACUUGGUUGGCGGCCUGUCAUAAUUUCUUUCUGUAUUGUUUCCAUGUUCCAGGUAUAUGUAACACAGCUGCUGACAGUUUGUCUCGUUUUAAAUUUCAGGCAUUUCAUCAAGCACUCCCGUCAGCUGCGCUCACAGCCACCACUACUCCAACAUUUCAACAACUAAUACUGGACUAGACACCAUCAUGUACCAUAGCAGGGCACUGUCCCAAUUGGCACUGUCAAAAAAUAUGCACAAAACAUACAACAGGGCUUUUGCAUUAUUCAAAAGAUUCCUUUUGGAACAUAACAUCAUGCAACCUUUUGUCAUGACAUCUUUUUUGGGUUUUGCUUCUUUUUGCCACCUUAAACUUAAAAUGUCAUACAACACCAUCAAACUUUAUCUCACAGGCAUUCAACACCAUAUGCUAAUCUUACAACCAAACAACACAAGUUUCAUGGCAUCUCACCAGAUCAAGACCAUACUCAGAGGCAUUCAGAGAUCUGAACCCACACGUACAUCACAGAGGCUACCCAUAGACAACCAUAUCUUCAAAGCAUUAUCUAACCUGCUUGAUUUAAAACCUUUUGACACCAACACAAAUUCUGUCAUCAAAGCAGCAAUAUACAUAGCUUUCUAUGGAUUCCUAAGACCUAGAGAAUUCACUACAACCAACGUGACACAAUCUACUCCUAUUCUCCUCUAUUUCCACUUAACAAAACACAUGGAUCAUUACAUCCUGACUCUACCUCACUCCAAAACCAGUCAGCAUGCACCAGUACAAAUAACAUACUAUCCCACGCACAACAGGUAUUGCCCCGUCAAGAUUAUUGAUGCAUACAUACAACAUCAUAAUUUACUACCAUCACAACCAUUAUUCCUAUUACAAAGUUCGGUACUCACCACUACAACCUUCAUGACCUACGUCAGGUCUUUACUCACUCAACUGGGCCUCAACGCAGCUAACUACUCAGGGCACUCCUUCCGCACAGGGGCGGCAUCCACAGCCUCCAGUGUCAACAUUCCAGUUCAUGUUAUAAAAACACUGGGGCGCUGGAAAUCAUCCGCCUACUCACGGUACAUACCGAACCCAGUACAAGAAUUAAGGGAUGCUUUCAAAAACAUGUCUGGUUGAUAUAUGUAUC
rnacentral:lncRNA from 1 species